CCUACGGGAGGCUGCAGUGAGGAAUAUUGGUCAAUGGGCGCAAGCCUGAACCAGCCAAGUCGCGUGAAGGACGACUGCCCUACGGGUUGUAAACCUCUUUUAUAAAGGAAUAAAGUAAGAUACGUGUACCAUUAUGCCUGUACUUUAUGAAUAAGGAUCGGCUAACUCCGUGCCAGCAGCCGCGGUAAUACGGAGGAUGCGAGCGUUAUCCGGAUUUGUUGGGUUUAAAGGGGGCGUAGAUGGGUUGUUAUGUGAGUGGUGAAAGUUUGCGGCUCAACCGUAAGAUUGCAAAUGAUACUGGCAAUCUUGAGUACAGGUGGGGUAAGCCGAAUUCGUGGUGUAACAGUUGAA
rnacentral:rRNA from 1 species